GCUGACCCCCCCCCCCCUUACACACAUACACACCCACCCCUGUCCUGAGCCCAACACCCGGACCUGACUGCCCCCUAUCUCCCCAGAUCAGCCUGGGCCUGAUCCGAUCCGAUCCGAUCCGAUCCCAAAGCAGCCUGAUCCUGGCCUCCCCCGCCCCCUCCCAGAUCACCCUGGACCUAACCCUGUCCCCCCUUCCUCCCGAUCAGUCUGAUCCUAUCUUAUCCUAUUCCUUCCCCCCCCCCCCGAUCAGCCUGAUCCCUUCCCCCCCAGAUUAACUUUGCCUGAUCCUGUCCCCACUUCCCUUCCAGAUCAACCUGGGCCUGAUCCUGUCCCUCCCAGGUGCCUGACAGCACUACAACCCUUUCCUCCCCCCUCCAACCCCCUCCCCUUUUUUUUUUUUUGCAGAACUGAGUGGAGCCUGCACUGCCCAGCUACCAGGGAGCUACCAGAGUCCUCCCCAUAGGUGCGCUUCACCCGCCCGUGCCCCAGGGUGACUCUGCCCCCAGCCCAGGUAAACAAACAGCGGCCGCAGUGCCAAUAGCAAGGCCAGCUGGACGGAGCAGCCUGCAGCAGGUGCUGCCCAGCUUCGCAGCCAGGACACCCCCAAGCUGCCCAAAAGGGGUAGGUGUCCCGUGACGCGAGUGUGAAGCAGGCCAGUAAGGGGGACCCUGCAGAGUGGAGAGUUGGGUACAGGGCAGGCAGAGACUAGAGGUGGGGAAGUUGGAGACUAGAGGGGAAGAGAUGGUGUCGUAGUGGGGUACGGAGGCAGGCUAGGCACAACCGGGAUAGACAGCCUGGAAACGGUGCCCAUAGGCAUAAAAGGUUGGGAGGGAAGUCCUGAGUAGGCUGUGGCUGGCUGGGAAGUGCACUUAGGAGUGGGGUGCAACUUCUGAGGGUUUGGCCAGAGAAUAGACAAGAACAUGCUCCUUCACCCCAUGGUGUUGGCCAUUCGGCGGCGACGGGCUGCCCAGGGGGAGCCCCGGACUCAGGCUCUGGCCUUGGGUCCGGCUCGUUCCCUGCCCCAGCCCCGAUCUCAGUCCCACCCCCACGCGCAGACCCUGGGUCCUUCUCGCCAGCAGCUUCAGGCCCGGACCCAGGGUCCAGCUCACCCACAGCCUCAGACCCAGGCCCAGGGCUUGGGUCCUGCUCGCACCCAGCCUUUGGCUCAGGCCCCGGGUCCAGCUCAUCCCCAGGCCACAGCCCAGGCUCUGGCCUUGGGUCCAGCCCGGCCCCAGCCUCGUGCCCGAGCCCGGGCCCGGCAACAGGCCCAGGCUCGAGUAUACCAACCACACCAGACCUUUGAGGGGCUCAGUGACCGGGUCUGCAUCCAGCGGUACCGACUCACAGCAGAUGCUAUGUAUCAUUUGUGUGAUCUGCUGCGGGGUAGCCUGGGAGCAUCUCAGAAUACCAACUUUGCACUCUCAGUCCCAGACAAGGUCAGUACUGCCCUUGCCAUUCUGGCCUCAGGCUCUUUCCAGAGGUUUGCUGCCCAGACCACAGGUGUUGGCCAGUCCACAGCCUCUAGGGUUCUCGGCCAGUUCCUGGAGGCCCUUAUCCCACAUACCCCAGAUUACAUCACCUUCCCCACGGACCCCAGCACCCAAGGACAAACCAUGCGGGACUUUCUUGAGAUCGCAAACAUCCCCCAAGUCCUGGGUGCUGUGGAUGGCACAUACGUGAACAUCAAGAAACCUGCGCAAGACUCCCACACGUUUGUGAACAGGCACCGCACGUAUGCCAUGAAUAUGAUGGUGGUCAGCAGCGCCCGCCUUGAAUUCACCGAUGUCCUGGCCAGGUUCCCUGGCUCCAGCCAUGACUCCUCCGUGUGGUCCCAGUCAGCUCUCCUCAGGCGAUUCCGCCGCGGAGAGUUCACACCUGGGUGGCUGCUAGGUGAUCACAGCUACCCCCUCCAGCCAUGGCUCCUCACUCCACUGGCGCAUCCCGAGGGUGCUGCUGAGCUGCAAUACAACCAUGCCCAUAAGCGCACCAGGUCAGUUGUGGAGAGAGCUGUAAGCCUGCUCAAAAUGCGCUGGCAAUGUCUCCAUGCAUCUGGUGGCACAUUACAGUACAGCCCUGAGAAGGUCAAUAGGAUUUUCGUGGCAUGUUGUGUUUUGCAUAACAUAGCCAUACGACGUGGGAUUCCUCUGCCAGAGGGGUUGGAUGUGGAUGAGGGGAAUGAAACAGACCUGGAGGAGGCAGCAGAGGACAGCAGCCGUGAACUGGGGACCUCUGGGUACACAAGCCUGGAGGAAUUAGAAGAGACUGAUGAGGAGACAGAAGGCACCACACCCCUCAGACAAGUCAGGCAAGCGUGCCGGAGAAGGGCUCUCAGACACCGUGUGGAGAAACAGCGUGGAAGGACAGUGCGGGCUAGGCUGAUCCAGGAGAUGUUCGGGUAGCCCUUGGCACAGCACACUAGUGAUGUCUGGCCAAACACCUUUCACACCAGAUUUCUGUGUAAGAUCCUUCAACAGCGCUACCCAGCCAUAACACUGUGGGGAUGUGCAUCACCUGUGGAACUCAUGACACUGCCACUCUUCUUGGACUGGAAGGCGAGCUCUGGAAAAUGGGGAAAUGGGAGUGGGAAGAGGAUUUAGGGUCAGACCCAGAGAGCUCAAAGCCAGUGUCUGUGAAUGCAAGGUGCCAUGUUCCUGAUAAAUGUCUCCCGGUUAAAACUCCCUGUGCCUAUUGCAAGCUCUGGACCUCAUCUUGGCCUAUAACCUCAGGUCUUUUAAUUUCUUUUGGCUCAGUGGUUUGUCCCUGGCUGCCCUCAAUGUCAGUUUGCUGUUGCAGCUUUUCUCUUAGGCAGUCAUACUCCGCUGGGGUGAUGUGCAUCACCCAUCCCUCUGAAGUCCCCCAGGUGCUAAGCCAUAAAAGUAGCAUAUGGGGGACAAAAUUGGGUGAUGUGGGGGGCCUGCUGUGCCCUCUUUUCUGUGUAUGAUGCAUGUCUCCCUCCAUGGCAGAAGCCCCUUGGCAAUGGGUCAAGAGCAAGGGAAAUCAGAGAAAGUUGCUGAGAUCUGUGCAGAAGAGAAACCUCUAAGCUGGAGGUGAGAGAGGAAUGGGAGCCAAAGUAAAACUGUAGGGUCCUGGAUUCAGCAGCUACAUUUGCUUGCCUUCCACUUUAAAGCAUUUCCAGCAGUACUGGGAUUACUCUUAAGAGCAGUGGUUCUCUAUCUUUUUAUACUCUAGGCACCCCCUGUUUGGCUUGAACCCAUUGUUCAGCUCAAGACACCCCUAGGGGAAUAACUGUUCUUACAUUUCACUCAAUUUUUUUGACUACAGAAAAAUAAUAGAGCAAUUUUUCUGUUGCAAAGAACGUAGAAAGACCACAGUAGGUCAAAGCUGUUAACACUGUAGAUUUUUAUUUGAGAGCUCUGGGUUUAUCUUGUGAAUCAUGUUUGCACCCCCAACAGUGCUAACAUUGCAUGGCUCCCUUGAAAGCAUCUCAGGGCACCCUAGGGUGCCAUGGAACACCAGUUAAGAAUCACUGAUUUAGAGUGUAUUGAUUAUGAUUCAUCUUGAACAGGCCAACAAGCUUCUGGGAGAAAUCCCCUAAAGAAGAUAUUUCCCUAAUAAGCUCUCUUAGUUAAAAGAUUAUUCAAGUUAUAGUAUAAGACUUCAAAAAUGAGUUAGCUGUGCUAUUUUUAGAUGUGCAUGGAAAUAAAUACUGUGUUUUCUAAACCAGUGUCACCAUUCUUAAUGUUUGGUUUAUGUAGAUGGUGACAGUAGGGGAAGUCAAGAGAAUAUGGGGCAAGACACAUUUGGGAGGAAGAUCAGGGAAGAGAAUAUGGGAAGUCAAAAGCGUCUUGGCUGUUUCUCCAGCUAGUAGUAGAAAAUGGAUGACUCAUUCCCCUAUUGUAGUGGUGAUCUUCAUUUGAGCAGUCAGGAAGAGAUGUAUAUUUGUGUAUUGAUUAAAGGUUUAUAUUUCAACGUUA